rnacentral:lncRNA from 1 species
GAGGCGGAGCUUGCAGUGAGCUGAGAUUGCGCCACUGCCCUCCAGCCUGGGCGACGGAGCGAGACUCCAUCUCAAAAAAAAGAAAGGAAAGAAAUUGUUGUCUAGGUUGACUUUGUUCUUGUUUUCCGAUGGUGUAGCCUGUUGUCUUCACCCCAUUUAUGGUCAGCGCGUUAGUUUCCCGCUGCUGUGAGGUCUGUGUGCUGCUGUCGGGAAGGUGGCGUUGCUGGGUAACUGGCUGUGUCUGCAUGAGGCUGUGUUUGUUCCAGAUUACAGGGUCACGGGGAACACCGUGCUGUGUUACUGCUGUGGCCUGCGCAGCUUCCGUGAGCUCACCUACCAGUAUCGGCGGAACAUUCCUGCUUCCGAGUUGCCAGGAAAUUCAAUCAUAUCUGUGAACAGACAAGGUUCAAAAACUAAGCAUCCAGAGGCCCCGAGCAGCUUUCAGCACUGAAGGCGAAGAGAGCGUGUUUUUAAAAUACAGAGACAAACACGUCAGGGCGUUUUCACAGCCCCCUGAGGGACGCGGGGUCUCCGGCAGGUGCUCUGGGGGGACCCUUCUGUGAGCUUCACCCUCUGAGUGAGACCCUCCCCAGAGCCCUGGGGGCCACAGCCCGCCCUCCUGCUGAGUGCUGGGUGGGGCUUGUGGUGGCGUGAGCAGCAGAGACGGAGCCUUUCCAUGACACGCAGCUGUCCCGCUGAGGGGCAGUUUUGCUCUUUUGUAUGUUUUCCGUAACUACAGGUAAAGCAGAAAUCUGUUUUCAGGAAGAGUUUCAAGGGAGAAAGGGGAAAGUUUAUCAAAAACAUUGUUUCAGGAGAAGGGAGCGUAAGUUUACAGCCUACAGGAUGUACACAAUAUUCUGCUGUUGGGAAAACCACAGCAUUUUAUAUAUUUUUUAUUUUAAUAGGUUUGGUGCUUAUCUUCUAAUAAGAUUUAAAUAUCACAAACUGUAGCACAAAUAAUAUAAUUUAUAAUUUACAAAUUGACUAAAAUUGGGUAUUGUAUGGUAUUUGAAAGAAUAAGCAUAUGCUUCUGUUUAUUGAAAAAAAACUUCCAGUGUCCAAAACUGCUAACCCUCGACGUGGCUGUCAAGUUAGUCGCUCCUUGCUAACCUGUGGGUGACCACGGCCCUGAACCUGGAGCUGGACGCAGGGCCCAGGACGCGCCGCUCCCUUCACGGCCCCGAGCNNNNNNNNNNGGCCCUUCCUCCAAGACCCUACAGAGCCUGAGGGGCACCUUGGCUUCCGCCUGUGCUAGGUUUGCCAUGUCAGCUGGAAUAAUACUUGAAACUUUGAUUUUUGGAAAAAAAAGUUUUUUAUCUUUUGUUGAAAUCACCUGUUAUCCUUGUUUGCAAACUGGUAACUUUUUUGCUUCUUCUCAGGAAUACAGUUUUCAACUGUUGACUUGCUCUUGAUAGGAACUGAGAAGCAGCACUCUGUAUCUCUGCGUUUGUGGAGGAAAGUCCUCUCUUUUGCAUAUUCUAAUAAAUGAGCCGCCUUUGCUCCUCCCCUCUCGUGU